UACCCUUGACAUGCCACUAACGAAGCAGAGAUGCAUUAGGUGCUCGAAAGAGAAAGUGGACACAGGUGCUGCAUGGCUGUCGUCAGCUCGUGUCGUGAGAUGUUGGGUUAAGUCCCGCAACGAGCGCAACCCUUGUCUCUAGUUGCUACGAAGGGCACUCUAGAGAGACUGCCGGUGACAAACCGGAGGAAGGUGGGAUGACUCAAGUCCUCAUGGCCCUUA
rnacentral:rRNA from 1 species